rnacentral:rRNA from 1 species
UACAGAGGGUGCGAGCGUUAAUCGGAAUUACUGGGCGUAAAGGGUGCGUAGGUGGUUAUAUAAGUUAGGUGUGAAAUUCCCGGGCUUAACCUGGGAAUGGCCAUGGAAACUGGCGAACUGGAGUGUGGCAGAGGGGGGUGGAAUUCCGCGUGUAGCAGUGAAAUGCGUAGAGAUGCGGAGGAACACCGAUGGCGAAGGCAGCCCCCUGGGCUAGCACUGACGCUCAGGCACGAAAGCGUGGGGAGCAAACAGG